UUGUACUAAGAAGUUGUACGUAUAAGUUCUGCAUGCCAUUAAGGUUGUGCUAAAAAUUUAUCUCAUAAGAAGUUAUAUUACGAAAUUAUGUGUCGGGGUAUGUAUACAAGUUACGAUAUUUCAAAAAUGGAAAGUUGCAGGAAUUAAAACUUUCCAAAAAUUGAAAAUUUUGUGGGAGUGGAGUGGAUGUUAGGAAUCAAGCGCUACCAGGCCUCCAGGCGCGCGCACCCC
rnacentral:lncRNA from 1 species